CAAUCCCUGAGUACAGUGGCGUACGGGUGAGUAACACGUGGGGAUCUACCUUCGGGUGGGGGAUAACUCUGGGAAACCGGAGCUAAUACCGCAUAAGCAGGGAACUGGAAAGCCGAAAGGCGCCGGAAGAGGAGCCCGCGGCCGAUUAGCUAGUUGGUGAGGUAACGGCUCACCAAGGCAAAGAUCGGUAGCCGGCCUGAGAGGGCACACGGCCACACUGGCACUGAAACACGGGCCAG
rnacentral:rRNA from 1 species